rnacentral:rRNA from 1 species
AGUGAACGCUGGCGGCAGGCCUAGCACAUGCAAGUCGAGCGGCAGCGCGUCCGACCACCCUCGGGUGGUCGGAUGGCGGCGAGCGGCGGACGGGUGAGGAAUGCAUCGGAAUCUGCCUCGUUGUGGGGGAUAACGUAGGGAAACUUACGCUAAUACCGCAUACGACCUACGGGUGAAAGUGGGGGACCUUCGGGCCUCACGCGAUGAGAUGAGCCGAUGCCGGAUUAGCUAGUUGGCGGGGUAAAGGCCCACCAAGGCGACGAUCCGUAGCUGGUCUGAGAGGAUGAUCAGCCACACUGGAACUGAGACACGGUCCAGACUCCUACGGGAGGCAGCAGUGGGGAAUAUUGGACAAUGGGGGCAACCCUGAUCCAGCCAUGCCGCGUGUGUGAAGAAGGCCUUCGGUUGUAAGCACUUUGUUGGG